UCAGCAAUUGCCACAGCCCAAUACUAAAGGGGGAGCAGGAGGGGGAACAGGACAGACAGAUGAGACCAAAUAAAAGCCCAACCCACAACACAUAUGUUGCUCUACUCCAACAUGCUGCUUACAGCUCGAACUGGUUUCCAGAAGUUGCUGCCAAACUAGUUCUUGAGCUAUCAGAAACUUUAAUCUAGUGCCUUGAAAACACUGGAUGGGCCGUGACUAUUUCCCCUCUGCUUACUUCUCCCAUUUACUGUCCAAGAUUUCAUUAUUCCCCAGAACACACAGCAAAGGAAGAGACCCAAGGUCUGCUCCUCCCUCCACCCCCAAAGCAGUUCAAUACCUGAUCAAUACACACACACACACACACAUUCAGCACCAGGAGACAAGGACACCAUAUUUCUCUAAAGGCAUCAGUUAUUCCUCAAGCCAUUCACUCUCAGUCACAGGCAGCAGAGCUAUGGUAGUUGUUUCCUACCUGCUGGAUAAACAUGCACCAAACAUUCUGAUCAAACACUGUGACUGCAGCUGCUGCUGGUGCACUGGGGCGGGGCAACUACCUACACUCAUCUGAGGAAAGCUCUGAAAGCACAAUGCAAUUGGGAACACACAGCUGUGAAAUUCCUGCAUAAUCACUGGAACAGAUCACAUAAUACAGAGCUGGUCCAGUUCAAGCCAUCAAGAGACUAGGAAAGGAAAAUAAGAGAAAGAAAGGGCAAGCCCUGAAAAGGCUUGACCAUCAGCAAGGUUUUGCCUCCCCUUCUAAACUUUUUAUUCUAAUCCAUUUCAGCAAAGCUGUUCAUUAUUCUCCAUUCUGCCAAUACCUUUAGCUACAGAAAAGAGUUUUGGCUUGGGGGAGGCACGUUCAUAUUAAAACCAAGGCAUUACCCCUCAUGUCAGGUGGACUUUUCUUUCCUGCUAGAAAGCCCCCUGCAGAGGUUCAGGCAGCUCAGAGGACGGGCACUGGCAUUACUCAUGUGCAGACAGGCUGCUGAAAACAGGUGGGACAGAGCCAUCUCCAGCAGUGGCCAAAAGAGAGGGCCCAAGUGAUGCAGACACUUGGAAUUUCCCCAGUCCCUGCCCUCAGGCACCCACCUUCUCAUUGGAGGACAGCUUAGCAAGGGAAAGCAGAUAGAAGAAAAUAAGACACAUGGUUGAGGGGAAAGAAUCUGAGCAAUUCAAUUUUGCAAGCAGUCUGCAUAUGGAAACUUGAAUAUCCAAUUAAGUUUGGCAAUGGCAUGGGGGUUUUACACAUAGCUGGAAUUAAUUCUUGUGCAUCUUCCUACAGAAUAUGAAGCAGCAGUGUAACUAAUUCAUGUCAGAUGGGAUACUAAAGCAUUCCCUAAACAAGAGAUUCUGGUAUAAAGCCAACAUAUAACAAAAAUAAAAUUACUGCACAAGUUCAGCAGCAGCUAUAAGUGCUUAGAUGGCACUUACAUCCAUGAAUGAUUUUUUGCUGCUCUUGUUAAUUUAAAAGGACAUGAAACUCAUCCAAAACAGUAACUGGUGGUGUUCUUUAAAACCAGUUGAACUUACCAUGUUAAAAAAAAGCAUCUAUUUUAAAAGAUAAGACUUCUUACUGUACCCUUUAUUAUACCUUAUAAAGGUAUACAAAGCAGUGCAGUACCAAGAUGACUACAUGUUCUUCUGAGGGCUACAGAGCCCUCAGCUGGCAUCUGCACACACCUGGGAUUGAUUUUAAUGAGCUUUUCCCUUAAUCCAAAGUUCCUGAAAGGGAGGAAUCCUUAACAUCUUACCCCACCCCUCCAUUUGUCUUUAAUUGCUCCUAGAUACAUUUGUUUGCAGGAAAGUACUGCAGCCAUGUGAACUGUGACUCUUCAGUUUAUUCUUUUCAUUUACUAACUUGCUUUCUAAUACACCAAAAGCUGCCCCUGGUAUGAAAAAAAGAAGUGUCCCCAAAAGGGUUUCAUUCACUUUUCAGGCCAACUAAAUCCUUACUCUGUGCUGAAAAUGACAGCCAGAACAAACAAAAUCAUCACCACAGAUACUCUUUUCUUCCUUCCUUUUUAAAUAGGUAACCAACAACUUAUUUUCCCACUGAAAGUUACACAAAGGCUAUAUAUCAAAUUUGAAAGCUCCUCAAAAUUUCAAAGUCGAUGAAAGCCAGAUUCUAGAGGGAGACAACAUGGGUAAAAAAAAAUAUCAAUACACAUGAUAUUUUAAUACAAAAUAUUAGCUUUUUUCUUUUUUUUUUUUACACAAGUCAGUUUUUUUUAAAAUAUAGAACCUUAGAAAAUGAACAAAUUGCUAUCCACACACUAUAAACACUUGGUUUGUGCUCAGUUUGAUCAAGUUAUCAGAACAAUUGAAACACCAGUCCAUAGUUUAAACACUGCCUUGAAGUUGAAUGAAAGCUAUGCCGCACUGUGCGCUACCGUUACUGUAUGUACAGUGUGAAGCGCCUUCGGUCAGGUUUAAGAGUAGGAAAAACUGUUCAGUUAUCAGGUUCUUUGUGCAAGGAUUUCACGUUCUACUCGUGCUCAUGACAGAUCUGUAUUACAUUGCAGUGGCACUGGUAUGAGCAACCACAUGUAAUUCUGUGAAUGUUCACUGGAAGAAUGUCCGUUACAUGUUCUGGAAGUACAAGUUCUUCAGCUAGACAAAAGAAAACUUGUUAGUUUAGGGGAAACACUAGCCUGAUUAGCCAGGAUUUAACAAUGUCUAAGCACUGAAAUGAAUUUUGAUUUCUCAAAGUUGAAUAAAAGUCAUUAACUAUCACAUUUUCAUAGAGAUUAACUGUGUAGCAGGUACAUCUCAGGAAUAUUUGUAAUUGCCCGUUUUUUGAACCCAUAGAAAGGAAAAAAUUUCCCUCUGAGUUGGAGGUCUUUAAAAGGUCUUGUUUUAGUAGUAAAUCAUCCACAAGUUGCAGGUUGUUAGCCAAGUAGAUUUAGGAUGAUUUACUUGCAUUACAGUAAUUUACACAAUUGAGCUUUAGGCAUACAGUACAAAACUAUGAACAAAAAGGUGAAGCAAACUUUUUUAUUUAUAUUCAGGUAAAAACAUUAACCUGAUGAAGUAAAUUAUUGCAGAUUUGAGAAAUCAGCACAUAAAACAGUUGGACAGAGCAUUGCUUACAGGUGCUUUAUCUGUGUCAAAAGACAAAGGCUGAACUGCUUGUUCCAAGCUAGCACUGGGGGGG